rnacentral:lncRNA from 1 species
AUUCGGCAGUGGAGUUCAAUAUCAAACUCUUCAAUAUUGAAUUACAAUUCUUCUAAUCUAUAAAAUAAUUUAUUUUAAAUUACUUUUACUUCUUUCACUGUCCGUGAGUGACACCUAGCAGUAUAUCACGGCAAUCCAGAAUGAUGAUGAAAAAUAAACCUUUCCGCUAACAGUUACCGUGUGAUUAAUUCCUUCCAACAUACAACGCCCCGAUCGAACUAAAAUUAUGGUUAUUCGCCAAAUCUUAUUAUUCGAUCAUAUAACUAGAAUAUCUAAAACCGACUCAAUAUGGUAACACAGCUGGAAACUCUUUCCACACACCACGUACCCUGGCCAAGGAUUUUCCGAAUCGAGUUCAUUAGUCUACAUAUAUAGGACGUUCUCUCUCACUAUUGAGAGUGUUGAAUUCCUUAUUGCGCAUUCACAUGCUUCCCCGUAUAAACUACUACAGCCAAUCAGUACCAGACGUAGACCAAUGAUUAGAGUCUAAGUAUUAGUACAGUCAAACAGUAACAAUCUACAUGUGAAGCAACUAUAAUGCCUCAGGUCCAAGGAGUACUCCACAUAACUGUAGUAAAGAACUAGUCACUGGCGAAUAUUGAACCAUGUGACUGUUCAACUAAAUGGUCACGCUCAGUGUACUUGUUCACUAACAAGCACCUGCAUGCUUAUUUUAGUGUUCCUACACUAAUGACUUGAGAUUCCUCACCUUAACUUAGAAGUAUAGCAUACACCGGCCUAUCCAAAAAUAUCAUCGUCCUUAUGAUAUUCCUAUGGCUAGGAGCAUUUAAAAAUCUUGUACAAAGAAAUAUAUAUCUCAAAUUCCUAAUUCUUAGGAAUAUAUU